rnacentral:rRNA from 1 species
AACGAACGCUGGCGGCAGGCUUAACACAUGCAAGUCGAACGCCCCGCAAGGGGAGUGGCAGACGGGUGAGUAACGCGUGGGAAUCUACCCAGUUCUACGGAACAACAGUUGGAAACGACUGCUAAUACCGUAUACGCCCUACGGGGGAAAGAUUUAUCGGAAUUGGAUGAGCCCGCGUAAGAUUAGCUAGUUGGUGGGGUAAUGGCCUACCAAGGCGACGAUCUUUAGCUGGUCUGAGAGGAUGAUCAGCCACACUGGGACUGAGACACGGCCCAGACUCCUACGGGAGGCAGCAGUGGGGAAUAUUGGACAAUGGGCGCAAGCCUGAUCCAGCCAUGCCGCGUGAGUGAUGAAGGCCUUAGGGUUGUAAAGCUCUUUCACCGAUGAAGAUAAUGACGGUAGUCGGAGAAGAAGCCCCGGCUAACUUCGUGCCAGCAGCCGCCGUAAUAC